AAUGUUAAAAAACACCGUAAGUGCAAACGAAAAUAUUGACAUUAAUAAAUUUCAAAAUUUGAGAAGUUUUAUUAAAAACAAUUCUAAAGGACAUAAAUCUAAAAAGUCAUUAGUCUUUGAGUGGAAUCAAAUAAUGGACUUUAUAAAUAAUGCACCAGACCUCACACAUUUAGUUACAAAGGUGAUUCUUAUAUUUGGCAUUUGUGGGGCCAUACAAUGUGAUGAGCUUAGUAAAAUUGAAUUGGAUAAUAUCGAAGAUCUUGGUGAUAAGUAUCUUGUUUCUGUUAGCGAAACGAAAAAUGAUGUUCCUCGUAAAUGUAUAAUUGGGGAACGUUUUUAUCUCAAGGUCAAGCAAUACAGCUCUUUGAGACCUGAGGAACCUUUUACCAACAGAUAUUUUAUCAAAUAUUAUAAUGGAAAAUGCCUGAAGCAAGUCAUCGGUAGAAAUAAAAUCGGUGAAACGCCUUACUUGAUAGCAUCCUAUUUAAAAUUGCCUAACUCAAAAAGUAUACUGGACAUUGUUUUCGGAGAACUAGCGCGACGUUAUUAUCUAACUUAGGUGCUAAUAUAACAAUGCUGAAACAGUUAGGAGGAUGGAAAUCAACAAAUAUUGCACAAGGAUAUGUGGAGAAUUCGAUGAAAAAUCGAGAAAAAAUUUAUGAAAGCAUAAGCUAUGCAACCGCAUCCACCGUGACUGAUCCAGAACCAUCAACAAGUUCAGCGAAAAACGACUGUUCAGUUAAAAUAACGAAUCCAAAAAAUUCUGAUGAACCUUCACAUGCUAAAGUAGACUUUCACACCUUUUCUGACGAUUUUGAAAUUGAUGAUGAGGAUCUUGCUAGGAUUGAUGAACUUGAUGAACCUGAAAUACCGAAGUCACCACAGGUGUUUUUCAGAACCGCGAGCAACAAAAAAAUUCUUGAACCUAGGAAUAAACAAAUGAUAAAACCUAGUCAUUUUAAAAAAACAAAACCAAUUUUGGUUUUUUCAAAAAACAAAGACAAUAAACUACCGCAAAAUCCGAUCAAAAUCAUCGGAACCGAUCAUUGUAGAAGCGAACAAACGUCACAAUCAAUCUCUUUUAAUCCAACUACUGAUCAAAAUCCGGGUAAUAUUUAUCAAAACUGUACAUUUCAUGGAAAUGUUAUCGACAACUUUUAUUUCGAUUG
rnacentral:lncRNA from 1 species